rnacentral:rRNA from 1 species
AUGAACGCUGGCGGCGUGCCUAAUCCAUGCACGUCGAGCGAACGGACGAGAAGCUUGCUUCUCUGAUGUUAGCGGCGGACGGGUGAGUAACACGUGGAUAACCUACCUAUAAGACUGGGAUAACUUCGGGAAACCGGAGCUAAUACCGGAUGAUAUUUUGAACCGCAUGGUUCAAAAGUGAAAGACGGUCUUGCUGUCACUUAUAGAUGGAUCCGCGCUGCAUUAGCUAGUUGGUAAGGUAACGGCUUACCAAGGCAACGAUGCAUAGCCGACCUGAGAGGGUGAUCGGCCACACUGGAACUGAGACACGGUCCAGACUCCUACGGGAGGCAGCAGUAGGGAAUCUUCCGCAAUGGGCGAAAGCCUGACGGAGCAACGCCGCGUGAGUGAUGAAGGUCUUCGGAUCGUAAAACUCUGUUAUUAGGGAAGAACAUAUGUGUAAGUAACUGUGCACAUCUUGACGGUACCUAAUCAGAAAGCCACGGCUAACUACGUG